AAAUUGAAGAGUUUGAUCAUGGCUCAGAUUGAACGCUGGCGGCAGGCCUAACACAUGCAAGUCGAGCGGUAGCACAGAGAGCUUGCUCUCGGGUGACGAGCGGCGGACGGGUGAGUAAUGUCUGGGAAACUGCCUGAUGGAGGGGGAUAACUACUGGAAACGGUAGCUAAUACCGCAUAAUGUCGCAAGACCAAAGUGGGGGACCUUCGGGCCUCAUGCCAUCAGAUGUGCCCAGAUGGGAUUAGCUAGUAGGUGGGGUAACGGCUCACCUAGGCGACGAUCCCUAGCUGGUCUGAGAGGAUGACCAGCCACACUGGAACUGAGACACGGUCCAGACUCCUACGGGAGGCAGCAGUGGGGAAUAUUGCACAAUGGGCGCAAGCCUGAUGCAGCCAUGCCGCGUGUGUGAAGAAGGCCUUCGGGUUGUAAAGCACUUUCAGCGGGGAGGAAGGCGGUGAGGUUAAUAACCUCACCGAUUGACGUUACCCGCAGAAGAAGCACCGGCUAACUCCGUGCCAGCAGCCGCGGUAAUACGGAGGGUGCAAGCGUUAAUCGGAAUUACUGGGCGUAAAGCGCACGCAGGCGGUCUGUCAAGUCGGAUGUGAAAUCCCCGGGCUUAACCUGGGAACUGCAUUCGAAACUGGCAGGCUAGAGUCUUGUAGAGGGGGGUAGAAUUCCAGGUGUAGCGGUGAAAUGCGUAGAGAUCUGGAGGAAUACCGGUGGCGAAGGCGGCCCCCUGGACAAAGACUGACGCUCAGGUGCGAAAGCGUGGGGAGCAAACAGGAUUAGAUACCCUGGUAGUCCACGCCGUAAACGAUGUCGAUUUGGAGGUUGUGCCCUUGAGGCGUGGCUUCCGGAGCUAACGCGUUAAAUCGACCGCCUGGGGAGUACGGCCGCAAGGUUAAAACUCAAAUGAAUUGACGGGGGCCCGCACAAGCGGUGGAGCAUGUGGUUUAAUUCGAUGCAACGCGAAGAACCUUACCUGGUCUUGACAUCCACAGAACUUUCCAGAGAUGGAUUGGUGCCUUCGGGAACUGUGAGACAGGUGCUGCAUGGCUGUCGUCAGCUCGUGUUGUGAAAUGUUGGGUUAAGUCCCGCAACGAGCGCAACCCUUAUCCUUUGUUGCCAGCGGUUCGGCCGGGAACUCAAAGGAGACUGCCAGUGAUAAACUGGAGGAAGGUGGGGAUGACGUCAAGUCAUCAUGGCCCUUACGACCAGGGCUACACACGUGCUACAAUGGCAUAUACAAAGAGAAGCGACCUCGCGAGAGCAAGCGGACCUCAUAAAGUAUGUCGUAGUCCGGAUUGGAGUCUGCAACUCGACUCCAUGAAGUCGGAAUCGCUAGUAAUCGUAGAUCAGAAUGCUACGGUGAAUACGUUCCCGGGCCUUGUACACACCGCCCGUCACACCAUGGGAGUGGGUUGCAAAAGAAGUAGGUAGCUUAACCUUCGGGAGGGCGCUUACCACUUUGUGAUUCAUGACUGGGGUGAAGUCGUAACAAGGUAACCGUAGGGGAACCUGCGGUUGGAUCACCUCCUUA
rnacentral:rRNA from 1 species